rnacentral:rRNA from 1 species
GUGCCAGCCGCCGCGGUAAGACGAACCGUGCGAACGUUGUUCGGAAUCACUGGGCUUAAAGGGCGCGUAGGCGGCUUGCCAAGUCAGUGGUGAAAUCCUGCAGCUUAACUGUAGAAGUGCCUUUGAUACUGGCAAGCUAGAGCGAGGUAGGGGUCUGUGGAACUUCUGGUGGAGCGGUGAAAUGCGUUGAUAUCAGAAGGAACGCCGGUGGCGAAAGCGACGGACUGGACCUUUUCUGACGCUGAGGCGCGAAAGCCAGGGGAGCAAACGGGAUUAGAUACCCCAGUAGUCC